rnacentral:misc_RNA from 1 species
UCUCCGUAGGUGAACCUGCGGAGGGAUCAUUACCGAGUGAGGGUUCCGGCCCGACCUCCAACCCUUUUGUGAACCACCUCGUUGCUUCGGGGGCGACCCUGCCGUUCGCGGCGUGGGGCCCCCGGUGGACCACCCAACCCUGCAUCGUUGCGUCUGAGUCGAAAUAUAAAUCAAUCAAAACUUUCAACAACGGAUCUCUUGGUUCUGGCAUCGAUGAAGAACGCAGC